rnacentral:lncRNA from 1 species
ACAAAUUACUAUUAUCAUUAAUAGCAACUGAUCAAAACAAGAAAAACUGAAAUAAAAUUGAAAACUAUUUAUAAAAUGACAUAAAGUAAAUAGCAAAUGAAUUAAAAAGCUAGAAUACAAUUCAAAUAAUACCAAAGACAACAUCCAAAUCACUGAUAUCCAGGGGAAGACAAACAUUGUUAUUAACAAUAAUAUAGUAAUGCUUCAUCUGUUUUGGUUUGAGCAAACCAAAUCCAUCCAUCCAGUCAGAAACCAUCUCCAAUGAUAAAAUAAGGAUUAUAAUAAGAGUAGAUAUAAAAUGAAGAAUGAUAAAAUGAAAAUGAUAUCCAAAUUGUUUUUGGUGAUAUCCAAAAUACCCUUAUUUUUCUAAUGAUUACAUAUAUUUAUUG